rnacentral:rRNA from 1 species
GAUGAACGCUGGCGGCGUGCCUAAUACAUGCAAGUCGAGCGAACAGACGAGGAGCUUGCUCCUCUGACGUUAGCGGCGGACGGGUGAGUAACACGUGGAUAACCUACCUAUAAGACUGGGAUAACUUCGGGAAACCGGAGCUAAUACCGGAUAAUAUAUUGAACCGCAUGGUUCAAUAGUGAAAGACGGUUUUGCUGUCACUUAUAGAUGGAUCCGCGCCGCAUUAGCUAGUUGGUAAGGUAACGGCUUACCAAGGCAACGAUGCGUAGCCGACCUGAGAGGGUGAGCGGCCACACUGGAACUGAGACACGGUCCAGACUCCUACGGGAGGCAGCAGUAGGGAAUCUUCCGCAAUGGGCGAAAGCCUGACGGAGCAACGCCGCGUGAGUGAUGAAGGUCUUCGGAUCGUAAAACUCUGUUAUUAGGGAAGAACAAAUGUGUAAGUAACUAUGCACGUCUUGACGGUACCUAAUCAGAAGGCCACGGCUAACUACGUG